CGGACGGGUGAGUAACGCGUGGGUAACCUACCCUGUACACACAGAUAACAUACCGAAAGGUAUGCUAAUACGGGAUAAUAUAUUUGAGAGGCAUCUCUUGAAUAUCAAAGGUGAGCCAGUACAGGAUGGACCCGCGUCUGAUUAGCUAGUUGGUAAGGUAACGGCUUACCAAGGCGACGAUCAGUAGCCGACCUGAGAGGGUGAUCGGCUACAUUGGAACUGAGACACGGUCCAA
rnacentral:rRNA from 1 species